UACGUAGGGAGCAAGCGUUGUUCGGAUUUACUGGGCGUAAAGGGCGCGUAGGCGGCGCGGUAAGUCACUUGUGAAAUCUCUGAGCUUAACUCAGAACGGCCAAGUGAUACUGCAGUGCUAGAGUGCAGAAGGGGCAAUCGGAAUUCUUGGUGUAGCGGUGAAAUGCGUAGAUAUCAAGAGGAACACCUGAGGUGAAGACGGGUUGCUGGGCUGACACUGACGCUGAGGCGCGAAAGCCAGGGGAGCAAUCAGG
rnacentral:rRNA from 1 species